rnacentral:rRNA from 1 species
UACAGAGGUCUCAAGCGUUGUUCGGAUUCAUUGGGCGUAAAGGGUGCGUAGGCGGCGCGGUAAGUCGGGUGUGAAAUUUCGGAGCUUAACUCCGAAACUGCAUUCGAUACUGCCGUGCUUGAGGACUGGAGAGGAGACUGGAAUUUACGGUGUAGCGGUGAAAUGCGUAGAUAUCAGGAGGAACACCGGUGGCGAAGGCGGGUCUCUGGGCCGUAACUGACGCUGAGGAGCGAAAGCGUGGGGAGCGAACAGG